UACUGGCCUCCACCCAACCAUAGGAAAUCACAACAUAGUAAAUUGCAAAUUACUGUGGAUGUAGUGUUAUAAUGUUCUAUUGCUUAAUUGCAUGUUAAACUUACUUCACUCAGUUUACUGGCACUGAUUUCUCCUUUAUCUGCAUGCCUACACUGUACUAGCAAACUAUUACUAAGUUUCUAUUUCUGAUAAAUAGAUUAAACAUUAAGAAUGAGGAAAUCCAAUGGUAUGUGAAAGCAACCAGGGUAGUUGGCUAAACAAAUAAAACUGUAUAAUUUGCCAUUAUUGAGUAGAGUCCAUUCUUUAAAAACUCAAUAAUCAAAGACUGUCGCUUAACCAGAUGGACUCAAAAUUGAUUGUUUCCAGAAGCACAGCUUGUUUUCAUAAUGGCAGAGCAGAAAGGUACACCAAAGACAGAUGAUGGGAGCAAAAUGCUUCGAGAGUGGGUUGAGAAAAAAAGCAUAAGAGUCCUUGAGGUCUGCUGUUUGCUGGAGAGCAGUGACUUUUUCCACUAAGACAAAGAUUUAUAGUCAUCAUCUCCAUCAACAACGUUAUCAUACUAGCCAAUAAAUCUGAUGACUUCCAGAAGUGAUUUCCAUACACAAUUGUAUUACAAAACUAAUAGAUUUUAAAAUUAAAAUUUCUUUUCCUUACUCCUGUAGAAUCCUAAUUUAUAGUUAUAUCAGAGAAGUCUCUGAACAAGGGAUGGAAAUAUUGUGACUUCCACCGCGCAGCUACAUUUUAUACCCAGUUCCUGGUCCACUUUUGGCAUGGUGGCACAAAAGCAGAAGGGACACAUCAUACAAGCACCUACAGGAACACCCCAGGAACCGGUUUAAGGCUAGGAUGUUGGCCACAGUAUUUGCUGAUUAUGGAUCAGAACCAAAUCCAGGAAUCGCAGUAUCCAUGGCUUGGCAGAGCUUUACUUUUUAACCAGUCUGCUGAGAUGUGCUGAUGCGCAUGUCCAUGUCUGUUCUGGAUCUGCACUGGACCAUGGCAGGACACAGGAAAUGAGAACAAAGAGGCAGAAAGCAAGAAUUUUCAUGGGAAUUAUGUGGUUUCGGGGGAGUAAUUACCUUCCAUCGGCUUUAUUUUGCCAUUUGUUAAAGUGCUCCAGUUCUAGGAAUGUACUAACAAUUUCUCAGUCCUGAUUUCAAGUUCUGUAUGGGAUAUAAUCUGAAUGUCUGCAUCACAUUUUGUCUUAUUCCAGAAUUUUGGUGAAUAUUUUUUAACUUACUAUAUCUAGCUUGAUUCAUGGUGCAGCACACAUUGGGGGUGUACAUUUUGUGGCCACUCAACCCUCAAGCUGGCUUUGAACUGUUAUGAUGUCUGUGUAGAACCGCUCUAAGAGUGUAUUGUAUUAAAAACUCUUUUCAACCGACAUGUGAAUGUGAAUUCACUUUUCUCCCAAUAAGCGUGACUCAAGG
rnacentral:lncRNA from 1 species